rnacentral:rRNA from 1 species
UACGAAGGGGGCUAGCGUUGCUCGGAAUCACUGGGCGUAAAGCGCACGUAGGCGGAUUGUUAAGUCAGGGGUGAAAUCCUGGAGCUCAACUCCAGAACUGCCUUUGAUACUGGCGAUCUCGAGUCCGGGAGAGGUGAGUGGAACUGCGAGUGUAGAGGUGAAAUUCGUAGAUAUUCGCAAGAACACCAGUGGCGAAGGCGGACUCACUGGCCCGGUACUGACGCUGACGG